rnacentral:rRNA from 1 species
UACGAAGGGGGCUAGCGUUGCUCGGCAUCACUGGGCGUAAAGCGCACGUAGGCGGACUCUUAAGUCGGUGGUGAAAUCCUGGAGCUCAACUCCAGAACUGCCUUCGAUACUGAGAGUCUCGAGUCCGGGAGAGGUGAGUGGAGCUGCGAGUGUAGAGGUGAAAUUCGUAGAUAUUCGCAAGAACACCAGUGGCGAAGGCGGCUCACUGGCCCGAUACUGACGCUGAGGCACGAAAGCGUGGGGAGCAAACAGG